rnacentral:rRNA from 1 species
AGUGAACGCUGGCGGUAGGCCUAACACAUGCAAGUCGAACGGCAGCACAGUAAGAGCUUGCUCUUACGGGUGGCGAGUGGCGGACGGGUGAGGAAUACAUCGGAAUCUACUUUUUCGUGGGGGAUAACGUAGGGAAACUUACGCUAAUACCGCAUACGACCUACGGGUGAAAGCAGGGGAUCUUCGGACCUUGCGCGAUUGAAUGAGCCGAUGUCGGAUUAGCUAGUUGGCGGGGUAAGGGCCCACCAAGGCGACGAUCCGUAGCUGGUCUGAGAGGAUGAUCAGCCACACUGGAACUGAGACACGGUCCAGACUCCUACGGGAGGCAGCAGUGGGGAAUAUUGGACAAUGGGCGCAAGCCUGAUCCAGCCAUACCGCGUGGGUGAAGAAGGCCUUCGGGUUGUAAAGCCCUUUUGUUGGGAAAGAAAAGCAGCAGGUUAAUACCCCGCUGUUCUGACGGUACCCAAAGAAUAAGCAUCGGCUAACUUCGUG